UGGGGAAUAUUGCACAAUGGAGGGAACUCUGAUGCAGCGACGCCGCGUGAACGAAGAAGGCUUUCGAGUCGUAAAGUUCUUUUAUAUGGUAAGAUAAUGACGGUACCAUAAGAAAAAGCCCCGGCUAACUACGUGCCAGCAGCCGCGGUAAUACGUAGGGGGCUAGCGUUGUCCGGAAUCACUGGGCGUAAAGGGUUCGCAGGCGGAAAUGCAAGUCAGGUGUAAAAGGCAGUAGCUUAACUACUGUAAGCAUUUGAAACUGCAUAUCUUGAGAAGAGUAGAGGUAAGUGGAAUUUUUAGUGUAGCGGUGAAAUGCGUAGAUAUUAAAAAGAAUACCGGUGGCGAAGGCGACUUACUGGGCUCAUUCUGACGCUGAGGAACGAAAGCGUGGGUAGCAAACAGG
rnacentral:rRNA from 1 species